rnacentral:rRNA from 1 species
GACGAACGCUGGCGGCGUGCCUAAUACAUGCAAGUCGAACGCAUUUUCUUUCACCGUAGCUUGCUACACCGAAAGAAAAUGAGUGGCGAACGGGUGAGUAACACGUGGGUAACCUGCCCAUCAGCGGGGGAUAACACUUGGAAACAGGUGCUAAUACCGCAUAAUUCCAUUUACCGCAUGGUAGAUGGGUGAAAGGCGCUUUUGCGUCACUGAUGGAUGGACCCGCGGUGCCUUAGCUAGUUGGUGGGGUAACGGCCUACCAAGGCUGCGAUGCAUAGCCGAGCGGGGAGGGGGAUGGGCCGCACGGGGACUGGGACACGGCCCAGAGUGCUAGGGGAGGCAGCAGUAGGGAAGCGUCGGCAAUGGAGGCAAGUCGGACGGAGGAAGGCCGCGUGAGUGAAGAAGGGUUUCGGAUCGUAAAACUCGGUUGUUAGAGAAGAAGAAGGAUGGGAGUGGAAAGUGCAUGCCUUGACGGUAUCUAACGAGAAAGCCACGGCUAACUACGUG